rnacentral:rRNA from 1 species
GAUCGCUGUGAUGCGGGGGGUCCGCCGCCCGUGACUCUGCGAGAAGUCCAUUGAACCUUAUCAUUUAGAGGAAGGAGAAGUCGUAACAAGGUUUCCGUAGGUGAACCUGCGGAAGGAUCAUUGUCGAGACCGAAAUAUAUCGAGCGAUUUGGAGAACUUGUUGAAAUUAGCGGUGGCUGAUGUUGCCGUGAAAAAAGCCAUCUGAGUCGUUGCCUCGCUGCCCUGAUGGUCGGGGACUCACGAUGAAGGUGGAUGAACAAUCGAAUCGGCGCAGCAUCGCGCCAAGGAAAUCUGGAAAAUCACCCAACAAAAUGGGAUCGGUGACAUGUGGGUGCUGCUGCACCCCAUGUGGAAUUAUACGACUCUCGGCAAUGGAUAUCUCGGCUCUCGCAUCGAUGAAGAGCGCAGCGAAAUGCGAUACGUGGUGCGAAUUGCAGAAUCCCGCGAACCAUCGAGUCUUUGAACGCAAGUUGCGCCCGAGGCCAAUCGGCUGAGGGCACGUCUGCCUGGGCGUCAAACUUUACGAUGCUCCGUGCCAAUCCAAUCCCAAUAAUGGGUGAGCUGGGGAAGGCUCGGAUGUGCAGAGUGGCUCGUCGUGCCCCUGGUGCGGCGGGCUGAAGAGCGUGCGAUCUUCUCGUUGCCAUCGAACAACAAGGGGUGGAUAAAAUCGAGGCUCGUAUUGUUGUGUCGUAUAUGCCCGAGAGAAGAUUACACUUUUAUCUGUGAUCCCAAAUCAAGCGUCGAUUCAUGGAUGGCGUUUGGAAUGCGACCCCAGGAUGGGCGAGGCCACCCGCUGAGUUUAAGCAUAUCAAUAAGCGGAGGAGAAGAAACUUACGAGGAUUCCCCUA